UGACUAGCUAUACUUCGUUGCGUGACGAACAAUGUUGAGUUAUGAGCAGCGCCUCUAAUUUCUACGGACUUUAAUCCAAACAAGGAAGUGUUCGGAUGGUUAGUUCAAAGGGGGGAAAUGCAAAAUUUAUGUUCUUUAUUAAUUGGAAAAAACUGAGGCGGACAGUGCCUUGGGUCAGGUUCCCAUUAGCAGAACGUAAGGUGGGGUGUGUUUGCCUCAGAUGAGGUGGUGAGGGGGAGCUCUCAGGAGGAGCCUGUGAAAUGUGGGGGAAGAAGGGUGGGCCGGGGAAGGAGCUAAGCAAACAUGUGGAUUCAGGAGAAGGCAGCCUCUCGGCCUGAUCCCCUGGGGAGUUCUGGAGUGCGAAUACGAGCACAGAGUGCGUUCCGCACUGUUCCACCGAGUCACUGGCUAUGGGCUGUGCUUCUGGGGGGACUUCAGCUCCCAGGUGGCUCCACUGAAAUCCAGAGCAGUCAGCAUUCCCAGCAGUGCGGGGCUCAGCGGCCCAGCCAGGUGAAGAAUCUGGAGGGGAAUCGACAUCAUCUACUACAGACGUCAUUUCUUCGUCUUAUUUGAAGUAUGUAGACCCACUAGAACCAUCUCGUGAAUAUAUACACUGUCUGUUAUGGAAUUAUGAUUACUUAAUAAUGUUUAACUGCAAAGGAAGCCCCAUGAGGGCAGGUCUUUGCUUUGUUCUGUUUAAUUCACAGAUGGUUCCUUGGUUCCUAGAACAGUCAUAGGCACAUAGUAGGUUUCUGUUGAAUAACCUCUAUGGAAUGAAUGAAUGAGGGGGAUCCAGAACCUGGGAUUCUGAAUUUUGGAGCAUUGCUUUGUAAGGAAUUGGCACCCCUGUAUGUACUAGCUGACCCAAAUAGGGAGUUAUUUUUCUCACAGUAUAAGAAAUUUGGAAGGGGAGGGAGUCCGGGUCUGGGCAGCACUCUGAGAUAUCGUUUGUACCCCAAGGGCAUUACCCCCAAAGCAUUACCCCUAUGCAUGAGGCUUUCAUUCUUGUGUACGUGACAGUCGCAGGACAGCCCUUCCAUCUCAGCCCUGAGUCCAUUCUCCAGGGCGGAAGGAGAGGGAGGAAGAAGAAUCAGGAAGGCCAGCACCUGUAUUGGGGGAGAAAACCCCCACAUUCCUAGAAAUCUCUAGCAGAUGUCCACAUAGAUGCCUUUAUCCAGAACUGCGUCAUCCGGCCAAGCCUGAAUGGGAGGGAAUCUAGGAUGGCGAGCAGAUUGGCUGGUGUCAAUGCCAUCUGAAACGAAGUUGCAAUUGUGUUAGCAAAGAAGAAAGGGGUAGUGGGGAAGCAAAUGACAGUUGCUGCCACUGUAGCAAAACUGCACAAGUCCCACGGGUGGUUAAAAGUGAAUGCCCUCUCUCAAGGGCAAAUAAAGGCAAAGUAAAAUAAAAAUGGAAAAUAAUUUGAAAAACUCCAAUCUUUUCUCCCCCCCUCUUUUUCGCUUUCCCCAGCCUUUUAUUAUGACUUUCCUAGCAACUGGGGGUGAAGUUCUCCCCAAAGUCAGUAGGAAAUCAUUGAAACAUGUUUCAAAAUAAAUACAAAUGAGCCUGUAAUCCAGGCACUUGCUUACCACUUUUUUUCUUUUAAAGUUUAUUUAUUUUGAGAGAGAGAGAGCAUGUGAUCUGGGAAGGGGCAAAGAGAGAGAGAGCGAGAGGGAGAGAGAGAUUCCCAAGCAGGUUCCGCCCUAUGAGCGCUGCGAGUGCAGAGCCCGCCGUGGAGAUGGAACUCAGGUCCACCACCUGAGCCCAAACCAAGAGUCCGACGCUUAACCAACUGAGCUACCCAGGCGCCCCUACCACUUUCUGUUGAAAGAAUUCUUGGACAAGGGUUUAUUUUCGUCUUAGUAGCUUGAUAUUUGAUCUGUACACUAGUGAGUGUGUAGGACGGUCACUUUUAAAAUUCUUUUCUCUUAAGUAGAAAACUCAGACUCCUGGAAUGUUUCUGCUCGUGUUGCUGUUACCGUAGGAGACUCCUAGUGCCAUCGUUCCUUACGAAGGAUGAAAGACCUAAAUGCGAGACAGGAAACCAUCAAAAUCCUACGGGAGAAAACAGGCAGCAAUCUCUUUGACCUUGGCCACAGCAACUUCUUACUUGACAUGUCUGUGGAGGCAAGGGAAACAAAAGCAAAAAUGAACUAUUGGGACUUCAGGAAGUUUUUUUUUUUUUUUUUAAUGUUUAUUCAUUUUGAGAGAGAGCGGGGGAGGGGCAGAGAGGGCAAGAGAGUAUCCCAAGCAGGCUCCUGCCGUCAAUGCGGAGACCAAGACCCACGGAUGGACGCGAGGCUCAAGCUCACGAACUGCAAGAUCAUGACCCGAGCCCAAAUCCAGAGUCUGAUGCUCAACCGACUGAGCCACCCAGGCGCCUCGAGCUUCAGAAAGUUUUAACUUCCUUGUACCCAAUUUCUUAGCAUUCAUCCAAGGUUUGUGUUCUUCCCUGAACCCCUCAUCUGGUUAAAGGACGUAGAGGGGAAAAAGGGGAGCUGAGGAAGGGACAGAAAUCAGGCUGAGCCACAGCCGCUUCCGGUGCCUGCACUUACUUACAUCAGUGAUUCAUCAAACUAAUGGGGAGUUCUAAUUCGGUGCUUUGCUCCCCUUAAGCCCUGUAAUUGCGGUGUCUCUGAACCCAAAGGAAACACGCUGUGCUCUGCGUGCCCAGGCGCAUAGCUUUUAAAUCUUCAUAACUCUGUAAUUACUACAGCGCUUUCCUUCAAAUCUGGCUCAAUUUCACUUCCUUAAUGAGCACUACGAUCUUGAUAAAGUUUGCAGUUUGCCGCCACUGCUGUUCACAAGGACUCAGUCCCAGACUGAUAAUGCGAGCUGUAGAUGGCACUCCCUCAAGUUCCUCUCAAAAAGAGCUGGUUUAUUUCAGGACCACCACAGUCAAAAGCACUUCCUCUGGGUCAAGGCCAGCGCUGGGUGUUUUCGUCCUCGCAGAAGGGAGCUUGGAAAGCAAAUUCUGAACAGUUCCGGAAAAAAGGGGAGGUGCUGGUGGGGGGAGCUUAUGAGCCCUUGGGGAGUGGCUGUUUGGCUUUAUUAGCGCCACGUGCUCUAGAGACGUGCUUCAUUUUACCCAACUGAAGACUUUCCUUUAUAGUAAAUAUAUUAAAAAUCGACUUCCUCUUUAUAAACUCAGCCCUGCCAAAGAGUGAAAAUUACAAAUCAGCUUUAAAGAAACAACACAAUUUCCACAUUCUUUCUCCUACCAACUGGUUUCUAGGAUUUUUCAAAAAGACUUGUUGGAAGGGCCGUUUGAUGAUUCUAGUCAAAAGCACAUCUCCUCUUGCAGCUGGCUGGAGGGGUUCUUAAUUCUGGCCACUGUUUUCCUUUCAACCGUGUGCUCACGCUUGGUCUCAGCUUUAGUUUUUCCGUCCCUGAGCUGUAAGAACCUGCACUGAAGCUAGCGUUGCUUUUAGAAUCCCUGUGUGCCCCCCAGACGGUGUUAAUCGCUCUGGGAUUCUGACUUGCACUUAAUUCUUAUCUCUAUUAUAGCUUGCUGGCCUUGUACUACCAUUAUUUGUUUACAAGUCUAUUUACUCCACCCCUUGAGAGCGAUGUUUAGGUCUUCUUUCCUUUUAUAUCCCUGACAGCCAACAGAGGUCUGAGCACCCAAUAGAUGUUUGCACUCAGUAAAUAAAGCUUCCAGGAAAUGUUUGUUGCAUAACCAGAAGAAAGAAUCAGUGAAUGAAACUUUCUUGUUUGCUAUCACCAUCUGCUUUAACUCUGUCGUUAUUUUGAUGUAUUUGGAGUUCUGACUAGAUCCAGAUUUGGCAUGUUUAAAAUUAUAUUCAGUUGUAAAAUGUGAGGCUACGGGUCUUGAAGAUAAGAAAGAACUCAACAUUUCUCCCAUUGGAAACAAUGUGAAUAAUCAACAGUUCUUUGCAGGGAAGAUAAAAAAGCUGGUUCCAACAGUCUUUGGAUUCAUAGUCUUUGGCAUUUUGGAAAAACCACUUAAUAGCAUCAUUUUUUUUUUCCUGCCCAUGUUUCCCUGUCAGUAAAAUACAGAGAGAAACCCUUGCCCUUCAUACCUGAUGGACUAAAUGAGGAUUCCUGAGGAAGAAAAGCACAAACUGAAACAAAGGACAACCUUCAGUAGGGCCAUGCGGUCUCCCCUCUAAAAACGAUACACACGAUAGUUGUCAAUAGGUAUGUCCCUGUGCUUAUGGCUUCAUAUUUUUAUAUAUUAAUGAAUUCCUCCCCCUGGCGUUUCCUGGGGACAUACGUACACAAAGCCAAAUUUAAGGUUCUUGAACCAGAAGAACUUGGGCUUUUGGGUUUCAAAAACGAAGCCCUGAAGGCUUUGGACACAGUGUUUCUGCUGUGAACCAUAGCUCUGGGAGAAUGCGUGCUCCUUCGGACAAGGGGGCCGACCCCACGGGCUGCUGGCUUCCUCCCGGGAACCAGGAAAGCCCGAGGAGUCAGGGAGUUGGUCAGUGUCAGAGAUCAGAAGCUAACAUAAAACUUGGGAGGACCUCCUGGGGAUUGUGGGAUGGUAGCCUCCUGGCGUGGGCAAGAGAGGAGCCAGCAAAGUCUUCUGCAGCCCUUCUGUUGACUCUGCGGAUGCCUCCUUCCCACAUGUUUCGUGCCUCUCUCAUCUUUCGCUUUUAUCUUGCCCUACAGUUGUUUUUCUGUGCCAUAACUUUAUUUGCGGGUGCAGUUCCAGUAUUGGAUAGCCAUGAGCUCCAAAAAGGUUUCUGCUUGAAUGUGAACCACAUGUCUCCCCAAUAGUUUCCCGGGGAACUACUGGGGAGUCAUACGGUGCAAAUGGCAACCUUUCCCUCCUCCUCCAGCCAUCAGCUGCCCACUCGUGAGUCCGCUCUUCGUCCUUCGGCAAGUACAACGCACCUCCGUGAUAAGAUAUUUGAACAUUACAUUUUAAGGACAAACCGUGUUCAUUUACUUUCAAGUUGUUGCUUUUUCCUUAUGUAAACCUGACAUAUUUUUCUAUCUGUGAAGUGGUUUGGGUAACAGGUUGGGAUGGAAUGCUCGUAAUUUUUCCCAAUAAAAUUAAUGAAAACGCUUUUUA